GGGACUCCAGGACGACGAGGGACAAACAUGUCGGGUGACUUGAUGUCAUGCGUCAAGUACACCAUGAUAAUCAUGAAUUCCUUUUUUGUUCUGGUAGGUGUUUUAGUCAUCGGUGUAGCAUUGUUGAUCCUGUUGGGCACAAAAUCACUGGGUCUAUUUCUGGAGGAACACAGCUUCAAUCACAUCUACUUUUUCAUGGUCAUUGGAGCCUUUCUCUUCAUCAUGGGCUUCUUAGGCUGCGCCGGAGCCCUCCGUGAAAGUAGAACUCUGGUUUUAGUUUAUUUCAUUCUUCUCGGCGUCCUCUUCUUAGCAGAGCUAUGUGCAGGCGUUGUUACCUUCCUCAGAUGGGAAACGUUCAGUAAAGAAACGUUGAAAACCAGGCUUCUCAAAGAUUUUAAUAUCGAGGUUGAAAAUCCAACUCGCUUCUCAAAAGUGUGGCGGGACGUUAUGACCGAGGUAAGUCCCAUGUGGAAAAAUGCCAUAUACUCAACAAACAGUAACUUGGAUUUAUGACAUAGAUGACAAGGCAGACCAAACCAAUACAGUCUUAAAUGCUUCUGUUGUACUCUUGUCAUCUCAUUUCAGUUCCAAUGUUGCGGCGUAAAUGGCCCCAUUGAUUUUAAAAUACCACCAAUAACCUGCUGCAAACUGAAAAAAUUCAUCAAUUGCACUCAGGAAAGCGCCUAUGAAAAGGUACUUAAUGACCUGUUCAAUGUUCACACCACAUGUCAAUUCCCAUUUUAUUUGUCAUAUGCAACAUGUAUCUUUUUUUUUUUCUCAUGCAAAAAGAAGAGUGCAAUUCAGGUUUUUCUAGAACAGGCCCGCGGGCUACUCGUGUGACACUCGGGGUGCACUACUCUGAUCUUUGCGGCUUAUUGAUCCUUUGCUACAAUGUCGUUCAUUGUGUGUUCACAGGGUUGUAUGGAGAUAGUCUAUGAUCGCUACAAAAAUUUCAUCUUUAUAGCAGCAGCAUUGAUGAUUCUGGUGUUGAUCUUUGAGCUUGUUUCCCUGUCCAUCUCUAUGUGCCUCUUCAGGGGACUCCGGCCUCUCCGGACUCUGUAGUCUAUUUCGACUUGUUUUUAUUUUUUGUUUUUGUUUUUCCCCCGAGGGAAAAAUAAAGGUAAUCUAUGAGGAAUGAAGAAAUCAAGAAUUCUAAAUAUAUUGAACUCAUUUCAAUUGUUUGUUUGGAGUUUAAAAAAUCCAUUGUUAAAAUAGCUGUACUUUGCAGCUGGACUUUAUUGGGUUAUCAAGUAAUCCAUGUACUUGCACACAUCAGAGAAAGUUGGAUAUCGGAGCCAAAGCUGAUGUAAAAAGGUCUUACGCAGGUCUUGCGCGGACGAGGUUCAAAAUUGAGUGGACGUGAGACUCAGAUGAACCCAUAGCAGAAGUACUGUGCUGACUUUUGAAUGAAAAAUGUUUAAACAAGUGCAUUUUGCUAUUAUGGAUUAUUGAACCAGUUUGUCCAAUGCAUUCAGUUCACAGUUUUGAAAUGGUUCAAAUGUUUUGCCAGCACAGAGUAGUAUCCCUUUUUAUCGUCCACAAAUAAGUAUCCAAACAUUGAAUACGGCAUUAACAUAGAAUAUAAAUAAAUCAGGGCCUAUGAUAUACCCUUGAGGUACCCCAUUAGUCACCUUUUAGUAGCUAGGUUCUUAUGUUAUUUAAGUCAACAUUCACAAGCAAGUCGACUUCUGUGCCUACCCUCUUAUACCAUUCGCGCUAUUAUUUUUAUUUUUUUAUUAGUGUACGAUCAAGUUUAGAUCUAUAAAGACAUUGACUGCAUAUUCUUUACCACGCCCACACAUUUCUUAUUGGCAGCGAGGUCUUUUUUUUUUUUUUUUUUUAAACCAUAUUGAUCGUCGCUUAAAAGAUUGUUUCUCAAUGAAUGUAUCUAUGUGAAUACUUUAACUAGAGGUUACAAACAUGUAAAUCAAGUUACAAAUAUAUGUAAAUGGAUGUAUUAUAGUUUCUGUACCCUUUACUAAUACCAUGUUAAUAUCAAAACAUUUUUUAUUUUCUAUUUUAUUAUCAUAUAAAGGAUUAAUGAAUGUCGAGGAUGAAUUUUAUUGAAUAUACUUUGCUAUUUUAGAUGUAUUUUGUGACUCAGGAAUUCCUUUAGCUAAGCUGUUAAGGGUGUGUCCUAAUGUGCACUUUGGCUGCGCUACUCUCUAUCACUGUCUAUAGUAACACAGUCCUUGCAAAGGAUUUUUUUUUUUCAGCCACUCUUCUAUGAUGCUGUAUUUUACUGUAUAUGCUCAGUGUUUACAUUGUGGAUGUAGUUUUCAAAUGUGAACUAUUGUGAGCUUAUCGCUCUUAAAGGACCAUGUCAACAUGAUAUCAGUUUGUUUACAUGGUUUGUCUUUUACUGCUGUCAUUUUAGGCAUUAAAAUGCUCGUGUAUGCAUUUGAUCCUUAAUAAAUGGCAUUCGAAAUAA